GGAAGCAUUUAAUAUUUGAUCAAAUCAUCAAAGAGAUUCAGUAUAGCAGCUGUAAAUGAAUAGUUAAUACUAUAUAACAAUAAAUACUGAGUGUCCCUGGCAAACUGGAGAGAUGAUGACAAGGAAGCACAGUCUUGACAGUUAAGACAAAAAGCUCAGUCCUCACCCUUGAAACAUGCCUUUUGGUCUACUCUGUACCUUGCAUAGAGCUCCUGCCUUAAACUUUAAUUAUUAUUAUCCGUUUGAUAUGCAUCGGAUAUUUUUCUACCCAGUUUUGUUGUUGCUGUUUGCAAAAUGAGAUCAUAUUGUAUAUUUGGUUUUCUAUACUGCCCUUUUGAAUUACUCUAGUAAACUUCCAUCUAACUAUAUUUUUUGUCAAGGAU